AACCUCCGCCUCUUGGGUUCAAGUGAUUCUCCUGCCUCAGCCUCCCGAGUAGCUGGGACUACCAGCACGUGCCACCACGCCCAGCUAAUUUUUGUAUUUUUAGUAGAGACAGGGUUUCACCAUGUUGGCCAGGAUGGUCUUGGUCUCUUGACCUCGUGAUCCACCCACCUCAGUCUCCCAAAGUGCUGGGAUUACAGGCAUGAGCCACCAUGCCUGGCCUAUGAAAAAUUUUUUAGGAUAAAAAAUUUAAAAAUCUUUUUUUAGAGACAGAGUCUCACUGUGUUACCAGGCUGGCCUUGAACUUCUAUGCUCAAACAAUCCUGCAUCCGCUUCCUAAGUAGCUGGGACUACAGGAAGUCCCACCACACCGGGCCCUGGGUAUUUUAUAUUAUUGAGAAUUUUUUUUUUUUUUUUUUUUUUUUUUUUUUUUAGUGACAGGUGUGUCUGGAAUUGGU
rnacentral:lncRNA from 10 species